rnacentral:rRNA from 1 species
AAUAUUGCACAAUGGGGGAAACCCUGAUGCAGCCAUGCCGCGUGUGUGAAGAAGGCCUUCGGGUUGUAAAGCACUUUCAGUAGGGAGGAAGGUAGUGUAGUUAACACCUGCAUUAUUUGACGUUACCUACAGAAGAAGCACCGGCUAACUCCGUGCCAGCAGCCGCGGUAAUACGGAGGGUGCGAGCGUUAAUCGGAAUUACUGGGCGUAAAGCGCAUGCAGGCGGCCUGUUAAGUCAGAUGUGAAAGCCCGGGGCUUAACCUCGGAAUUGCAUUUGAAACUGGCAGGCUAGAGUCUUGUAGAGGGGGUAGAAUUUCAGGUGUAGCGGUGAAAUGCGUAGAGAUCUGAAGGAAUACCAGUGGCGAAGGCGGCCCCCUGGACAAAGACUGACGCUCAGAUGCGAAAGCGUGGGGAGCAAACAGGAUUAGAUACCCUGGUAA